GACGAUGCGUAGGGGUUCUGAGAGGAAGGUCCCCCACACUGGUACUGAGACACGGACCAGACUCCUACGGGAGGCAGCAGUGAGGAAUAUUGGUCAAUGGCCGGAAGGCUGAACCAGCCAAGCCGCGUGAAGGAUGAAGGUGCCAAGCAUUGUAAACUUCUUUUGUCAAGGGACAAAAUCAGGCUCGAGAGCCUGACCGAGGGUACUUGAAGAAAAAGCAUCGGCUAACUCCGUGCCAGCAGCCGCGGUAAUACGGAGGAUGCGAGCGUUAUCCGGAUUUAUUGGGUUUAAAGGGUGCGUAGGCGGACUGUUAAGUCAGCGGUAAAAGCCCGGGGCUCAACCCCGGCGAGCCGUUGAAACUGGCUGUCUUGAGACGUCGAGAGGUAUGCGGAAUGCGCAGUGUAGCGGUGAAAUGCUUAGAUAUUGCGCAGAACUCCGAUUGCGAAGGCAGCAUACCGGCGGCGAUCUGACGCUGAGGCACGAAAGCGUGGGUAUCGAACAGGAUUAGAUACCCUGGUAGUCCACGCAGUAAACGAUGAAUACUGGCUGUGUGGCCCGACAGAG
rnacentral:rRNA from 1 species